GAGACAUCUCCUUGAAAGCAAUCUGUGGGAGAGAGAGAAGACAGCGUGAUUGAAGGAAGGACCGGGAUUAAAGUCGACGAGGAGACGAUAGAUAGAAAGAUAGGUAUCUGGAAGGCCAAACAGAAUCGAUAGAUUUAGGGUUUUGGGAAAUGAAAACGAGGAGGACAAGACAUUUGAUAUGAUAAAUCCGAAACUGGUCCUCUCUCGCCCUGUGUUUUUCUUUUUU
rnacentral:misc_RNA from 1 species